UUUUGGUCAGAAGAAAAGACUGUUCAUUGAUAUCUAGUAAAGACAGAACCCACUUUCGGGGUCUCAAAACAAAGCAGAUCUCUAAGGGCCUGCGGAGGAUGGGUCAACCAGUGUUCAGUGAGUGCUUUUUUCUUGUGUGUCGUAACUACCCAGUCCGCCACACUAUUCCUAGACCUAUUACAAAACUGCAGUUUUAUGUUUGAAAACGAAGACAGCAGCUCACGUGCUUCACUGAGGAGAGCACGAUGUUCCCACAGCAUACCUUCUGGAGACUUCAAGCUAUUGACCAGAUUUAGGCAGUCUGACUCCAAAAUUAGGUUUUCAUCCGCACGGGGAGAGAGGAAUUUGAGGGUUUCCACCAUGGCUAGGCUCUCGGCUUGCUCGGCGGAGGAGGUGAGGACGUCCUUGGCAAAGCCGUCGAUCAAGAUCCCAGCCGAGUUGCGGCAUACACAAGCUAUUGAACCUUCAAAGGAACCAGCAACUGUGGGUCCGGGAGGAGCCUUCUAAAGACGAGGCUAUUCCUUGCUUUAGAGAUUUCCCAGAGUACAACAGAGACUAACUCAAAUUCGGGGGAGUUAUUUCUGCUGGGUAUGAAUUUUAUCAGCCAUUCAUCAAAGCGGGAAGUUUGGUAUUUUGAGAUCUGGAUGUUGAGUGCAGGAACAUCCCAGACUUCCCUCGUCCACUUGCAUAGUAGGAAUAGAUGUUCUGUGGUUUCUGCAUGAACUCGGCAGAAUGGGCAAUUCAGAUCAGAGCAGGGCCAACCUGUGGUUUGCAUCUUCAUCCGGCUCCAUGGAGGUGGAACUUAAUCGCAGUUACUGUAGUUCCUCGAGCUGAAGGACACAAGAUUUACUUGCCUUCACAGUUGAGUUCCGCUCCAGAGCGUGAUUUUAGUGAGACAAGUUGAAGGGUUGUGGGUGGGUGAUGAGUUGACGAGGCAUUAGGUUACUGAGGAGCAGUUCAUGGUUCAUGGUGACUGAGCUAGAUUGGGAAAAGAAGAAGAGGGACAUUUUGGGUUUCCAUUGGCUAGGCUGCCCCAAUGGGUGGAGGGAAGCACUUCCGAGAGAGGAGAGUGCAUC